rnacentral:rRNA from 1 species
AUUGAACGCUGGCGGCAGGCCUAACACAUGCAAGUCGAACGAGUGGCGGACGGUUUAGUAAUGUCUGGGCAACUGCCCCAUGGAGGGGGAUAACUACUGGAAACGGUAGCUCAUACAGCAUACCAUCGGAUGUGCCCAGAUGGGAUAAGCUAGUAGUGGGGUAACGGCUUACCUAGUCGACGAUCCAGAGCUGGUCUUAGAGGAUGAACAGCCAGAAUGGAACUGAGAAACGGUCCAGACUCCUACGGGAGGCAGCAGUGGGGAAUAUUGAACGAUGGGCGCAAGACUGAUGCAGCCAUGGCGCGUGUAUGAAGAAGGCUUUCGGGUUGUAAAGUACUUUCAGCGAGGAGGCGUUACUCGCAGAAGAAGCACCGGCUAACUCCGUGCCAGCAGCCGCGGUAAUAC